GGCGGUUCUCGGGUGACGCACCCCGGAAUCGGGCUCCCUCCUCUCUGGUUCUGGGUGCAUCACCUGAGCACCGCA
rfam:Myotis lucifugus cont2.18805, whole genome shotgun sequence.